rnacentral:lncRNA from 1 species
CCACACAUUUUGAGCACAUGUUCACUGACAGACGAAUUCUCCUCCAUCUUGCAAGUAUAGAAUUUAUCAGAGGUCUCAUACCUCUCGAUCCGGGCAUUCUUCUGAAAGAUAAACUUCAACUCCUGGAACAUCUCAUAUGCUCCAUGACGCUCAAAGCGACGUUGAAGUCCCGGUUCUAAGCCAUACAAGACUACACAUUGAACUACUGAGUAGUCCUCCUUACGUGUUAACCAAGCGUUCUUAACAUCCUGGUCAGUCGUAGCGGGUGGUUCAUCUCCUAGCGCAGCAUUAAGGACAUAAUCCUUCUUCCCAGC